AGACAGUCUGUCAGGCCGAGCUCAUUACACUAAGGUAAGACAGCCUGACCCUCCGGUCUCCCUUUCCCAUCAGAUCUUGACACUGGUCUUGGUGGUCGUAAAGGAGGGAGAGCACCCUGAAGCUGGCCUCACAGCGAUGCAGUCUGCUGUAGAGCGGCAGGCCAGAUUCGGACAUGCCUGGGCUUUGUAAAAUGGGUAACUUCCCCCUGGGCAGGUAUUGCUACUGAAUGCUGGCUUACUUUCAUGUUUUGUUUUGUUUUUAGGGUCCAUGUAACCAGUGAAGCGGCCAUUAUACAUGAUUUGGUCUACAGUUGUUGGAAAAGCUCCACAAGGGGAUCUCCUGGAAGCCAUUGCAAUCAGAGCUAGAGUCAAAUCAAGGCCAGCCUGGGCUACGUGGAAGAACCUCAUUUUGGAAAAGUGAAAUGCUUAACAUGCAAUUGGUUCAAUGACUUUUGGAAAGUG
rnacentral:lncRNA from 1 species